GACGUAGGGCGCGAGCGUUGUCCGGAUUUAUUGGGCGUAAAGAGCUCGUAGGCGGUUUGUCGCGUCUGCUGUGAAAACUCGGGGCUUAACUCCGGGCCUGCAGUGGGUACGGGCAGACUAGAGUGCGGUAGGGGAGACUGGAAUUCCUGGUGUAGCGGUGAAAUGCGCAGAUAUCAGGAGGAACACCGGUGGCGAAGGCGGGGUCUCUGGGCCGUAACUGACGCUGAGGAGCGAAAGCGUGGGGAGCGAACAGG
rnacentral:rRNA from 1 species